GAUGAACGCUGGCGGCGUGCCUAAUACAUGCAAGUCGAGCGAACGGACGAGAAGCUUGCUUCUCUGAUGUUAGCGGCGGACGGGUGAGUAACACGUGGAUAACCUACCUAUAAGACUGGGAUAACUUCGGGAAACCGGAGCUAAUACCGGAUAAUAUUUUGAACCGCAUGAUUCAAAAGUGAAAGACGGUCUUGCUGUCACUUAUAGAUGGAUCCGCGCUGCAUUAGCUAGUUGGUAAGGUAACGGCUUACCAAGGCAACGAUGCAUAGCCGACCUGAGAGGGGGAUCGGCCACACUGGAACUGAGACACGGUCCAGACUCCUACGGGAGGCAGCAGUAGGGAAUCUUCCGCAAUGGGCGAAAGCCUGACGGAGCAACGCCGCGUGAGUGAUGAAGGUCUUCGGAUCGUAAAACUCUGUUAUUAGGUAAGAACAUAUGUGUAAGUAACUGUGCACAUCUUGACGGUACCUAAUCAGAAAGCCACGGCUAACUACGUG
rnacentral:rRNA from 1 species